rnacentral:rRNA from 1 species
GGGGAAUAUUGCACAAUGGGCGCAAGCCUGAUGCAGCGACGCCGCGUGAGGGAUGACGGCCUUCGGGUUGUAAACCUCUUUCGCCAGGGACGAAGCGCAAGUGACGGUACCUGGUAAAGAAGCACCGGCCAACUACGUGCCAGCAGCCGCGGUAAUACGUAGGGUGCGAGCGUUGUCCGGAAUUACUGGGCGUAAAGAGCUCGUAGGCGGUUUGUCACGUCGUCUGUGAAAUCCUGCAACUCAAUUGUAGGCGUGCAGGCGAUACGGGCAGACUUGAGUACUACAGGGGAGACUGGAAUUCCUGGUGUAGCGGUGAAAUGCGCAGAUAUCAGGAGGAACACCGGUGGCGAAGGCGGGUCUCUGGGUAGUAACUGACGCUGAGGAGCGAAAGCGUGGGGAGCAAAC